AAUAUGAAAAAAUAAAAAAUUGCAAACAAAAAAAAUUCAAUAUUAGGACUUUAUAAGAAUUGCUUAGUAUGUAUUGCUGCUGCCACUGCUGCCACUGCUGCUGUUGCUGCUGUGCUGCAAAUUUCAAUAAAGAAUUUGCCCCUCCUUUUUGUGUGCUGUUGAUGCAAUUGAAUUUAACUU
rnacentral:sRNA from 1 species